GGAUAAUAUAGUUUUUUAUUUGGUCAAAAUAUAGUUUUAAAAUAAAUAUAUAAAUUAUAAGUAAGGGGUAUCUUACUUAUGACUUUUAACUUAUUUUAAGUAGUUUUUUACUUAUAAGCUAAACUAAACACUAGUCCACUUAUGAUUUUUAACUUAUAAAUAGGUUUGACCGACUUAUAAGUCAAACUAAACACUCUCUUAAUAGGUGCAUAUUUAUCCUUAUAAGGAAAUCCCAAGCUAACUUUAUCUAACCCUGCGUCGUUACCUACUCAUCUUCUCUUCUUCCUUCCUUUCCUAUCAUCUUCUUUUGUUCUCCCUCAAUUCGCACCUACGGUUUAUGGUAUCCCUUAACAUCAUCACUCUCACCACUUACUUCCUUUCAAUUUCAUCCUUUCCCUUAAUCACCUUUCUUCCUUUCAUUUCUUCAAACUCUCUCUCUCUUUUGCUCAGCCACCAGCCAAUGUUGCAUGUGCCUCCUUGAAGGCUUUUUUUUUGUUCUUUUUGCAAUUUUCAAUUCUUUUUUGGGGCUUACAAUCAGCAACCUACUAAUUGGCAGUGAUGGUAAAUGAAGUUACUGCUUUUUGUUUCCUUUCGUCCUCCACUUUCUCCUUAAUGGCGUUAAAUUGAAGAAAAAAAAAGUUUGGAACAAUUUGGAACCAAGAAAAUGAAAGCUUUAUCAUUUGAAUACUUUUCUUUAUUUUUUUCUCUAAAAUUUGUAAUAUUAUUGUUGAUUGUGGUUUUGAGUUAUUCUGUUUCACUAUAUUUUGAGUUGUGUGAUUUUGAGUUAAUUUGUGCAAUUUCUCUUAUGUAUUUUUAUUUUGAUAUUAUGAGUUUUUGAUAGAAGUUCAUAUAAUAUUAAGAUUAAUUUUGAAUUUCAUUUUAUACUAUAAAUUUGUUGUGAAUUGUAUAUUGUGAUUAUGCAUAAACACUUUCCCAUCUAACUUGGAUGAAAUGUUAGCCCUUUUUUUGGGUGUGAAGUAAGCCCAAAACAAAUGUUCAAAAUGAAUUGUAGAAAUGAAGAAUAAAAUCAAACUAAACUAUUUUCGUUAGGUUUAAGUCAAUUUGAUUUUUAUCUCUUAUUUAGUUUGGUUUAGUUUUUAGGGCAAAGUACACUUUAGUACCUUGUACUUUGGCCUUUUUAGCAUUGAAGAUAUGUACUUUAUUUUGUUACAAUUAAGGACAAGAACUUUAGCUUUAUUUGUGCUAACAGUGUUAAAUAAUGCUAACGUGGUAUGCUAAUAUGAUGCCAUGUAUGACAUGGUGCUAAUGUGGU
rnacentral:misc_RNA from 1 species